rnacentral:rRNA from 1 species
CCCUACGGGGUGCAGCAGGCGCGCAAACUUUACAAUGCGAGCAAUCGUGAUAAGGAAACCCUGAGUGCCUGUCGAUGCAGGCUGUUCAUAUAUCUAAAUCAUAUGUGAAGAAAGGGCAGGGCAAGACCGGUGCCAGCCGCCGCGGUAAUACCGGCUGCUCGAGUGAUGGCCACUAUUACUGGGUUUAAAGCGUCCGUAGCUUGACUGUUAGGUCUCUUGGGAAAUCUUCACGCUCAACGUGAAGGCGUCUAAGAGAUACCGGCAGUCUUGGAACUGGGAGAGGUAAACCGUACUUCGGGGGUAGGAGUGAAAUCUUGUAAUCCUCGAGGGACGACCUAUGGCGAAGGCAGUUUACCAGAACAGCUUCGACAGUGAGGGACGAAAGCUGGGGGAGCAAACGGGAUUAGAUACCCCGGUAGUCCCAGCCGUAAACAAUGUGCGUUAGGUGUGUCGGUAACCACGUGUUACUGAUGCGCCGAAGAGAAAUCGUGAAACGCACCACCUGGGAAGUACGGUCGCAAGGCUGAAACCUAAAGGAAUUGGCGGGGGAGCACCACAACAGGUGGAGCCUGCGGUUUAAUUGGAUUCAACGCCGGACAUCUCACCGGAUAAGACAGCUGAAUGAUUGUCAAUCUGGAGGUUUUACAUGACUAGCUGAGAGGAGGUGCA